rnacentral:lncRNA from 1 species
CUUUUAUUUACUGUUCUUUUAUUAGAAAGAUGUGGCAAACCAAAAUUAGUCAUGGCUUUUAUCAAGGCAAAACUGAAAGUGGGCUCUCAUCGGGCAAGUGUGUAUCAGAUUAUGAGCCCAAUCAAAAGGUCAUCAUCCCUUUCUCCAAAAAAGAAACUUCUGGAUCAUUAUAUUUAAUUCUGAAAAUGCAAAAUUCUUAAGGAAAUUAGGGAUUUUUUUUCUUCUUAUGGGGUUAAUAAAAAUCAUAUGACAUAUCUUGGAUUUUAAUUUAGGUACAUGAUCAUAUGAGUGAUUAAGCAAACAGAAAAUCAAAGUAGAACAAAUAAUACCCUCCCCCAAUUUACCACUCUAGAAAAUAAAAUCAUAAGUAAAAAGUAAGGAGGGUUCACUGAAAAUAAAUCUUGUAGACAAUCCUGGAUAUUAAAAUCUCAAUAUACUGUAUCUCCUCUGUUUUCAUCAUGCACAAGUUUCACAAUGCCACCAAUGUUGGAAACAAAAUGUUGGAAACAAAGCCCUCCAAUGACUUGAAGCUGGCAUGGAAAAUGAAGCAGUGCGGGGUCCUGAGCCACUGGUCCUGAAUGCAGGGCUGCCUUCAGCACACAGACAUUGGACCAUAUUGUAUUGGUUUUUCCUGCACAGAAAACAGUGGGAGUUCUGGACAAAGAUGAAAGGGAGAAUAUGUACUGUGAGCUGUUUGUUUUCUACUCAUAAUAUCUUUUUCAAAAGACAUUCUGUAUUUAGAACAAAUAAAAACUGCCUAUAUUUUAAUGUUGAAAGGUUGAAGACUCAUAGAUACCAUAACAGUAGGACUCAUAGUUCUUUUCUCAUUUAUGUCCUGGCAGAUUUUGCUAUGCUUACAUCUUAGCUUUUUUUGAGUUCCUAUUCAUUUUAGUGGGUAGGACGCUCUAGAGCAUGAAUUAUGAGAAAGUCUUUCUGCUUGGUUGUGCAAUAGGGAAUUUGAAAUACGAGAAAUAGAAAUUAGCUGACUUUUUUUUCCCAGAAGAGUAAUGCAUGUACAGCAAAAGCCCAGUAAGGAAGGUACAAUCAAAAUCCUACAGGGUCCACUGAAAUAAGAAAGCAUCACUAACUGCU